rnacentral:rRNA from 1 species
GGAACUUUGGGGAGACUGCCAGGGAUAACCUGGAGGAAGGUGGGGACGACGUCAAAUCAUCAUGCCCCUUAUGAUCUGGGCUACACACGUGCUACAAUGGCCGUCACAAAGUGAGGCUACCCCGCGAGGGGAAGCAAACCUCAAAAAGGCCAUCCCAGUUCGGAU